AGAAAUGCCAGCAUGUCAUGAAAACCCCGGCUGAGAAGUUGGGAAAUCCCCUUCUCAAGAGUGUCUGGACAAAGUUAGAAGCCCUGAGACUGUACCAGGAGGGAAGAAGACAAUGUAGGACCUGGGUUUGGGGUUAGUCCUGGCUUUUCUUGGGAAGGAGCCUCUGCCUGUGGAUAUAGGAGCUUUGCCAAUGGGACAGAGGCACACUAGGACAGAUCCAGCAAGAGUCUUGGCAUUCAGUCUCUCUUCUCAAGGGCUCUUCCAGAUUCCGGAUUCCUCAUCCAACCGUUUCCAGUGAUUCCUGACACCUUGACUCAAGAGGCUGACCAUCUCAGUUCACUCAAAUGGUUGUUCACACAAGGAGCCGGGUCUGCAUAAUUGUAUCAGUAAUCAGCAGUAAGGCAAUUAGUUGUCUCAGCUGGGGAAAACGAGGAACUGGAAGAAAACUGCUGAAGUGAGUUUGUGUUAGCUCUACCGUCCACAAAGUGGCUACGUCUUAGAUGCCUUCAUUGGAGCCGCUGGAGGAAGAUGAGCAAGAUGACUCAGAGGGCAGUAGUGAUCUGCGGCUGUGGCUGAAGACCCGAGUUCAGUCCCCGAGGCCCACGUGAUGGAAGGAGAGAACUCCUGCAAGUUGUCCUCCGACCUUUACACGUGAAGCACGUGCAUAUCCACACCUAUCUAUCAACCCCACACGAUGAAUAAAUAAAUAAAUCUAAA